GACGAACGCUGGCGGCGUGCUUAACACAUGCAAGUCGAACGGAAAGGCCCUGCUUUUGUGGGGUGCUCGAGUGGCGAACGGGUGAGUAACACGUGAGUAACCUGCCCUUGACUUUGGGAUAACUUCAGGAAACUGGGGCUAAUACCGGAUAGGAGCUCCUGCUGCAUGGUGGGGGUUGGAAAGUUUCGGCGGUUGGGGAUGGACUCGCGGGUUAUCAGCUUGUUGGUGGGGUAGUGGCUUACCAAGGCUUUGACGGGUAGCCGGCCUGAGAGGGUGACCGGGCACAUGGGGACUGAGAGACGGACCAGACUCCUACGGGAGGCAGCAGUGGGGAAUAUUGCACAAUGGGCGGAAGCCUGAUGCAGCAACGCCGGGUGCGGGAUGACGGCCUUCGGGUUGUAAACCGCUUUCGCCUGUGACGAAGCGUGAGUGACGGUAAUGGGUAAAGAAGCACCGGCUAACUACGUG
rnacentral:rRNA from 1 species